rnacentral:tRNA from 1 species
GGUGAGGUGUCCGAGUUGGCCGAAGGAGCUCGCCUGCUAAGUGAGUAUACGCCUUAAAAGCGUAUCGAGAGUUCGAAUCUCUCCCUCAUCG